rnacentral:rRNA from 1 species
AUUGAACGCUGGCGGCAGGCCUAACACAUGCAAGUCGAGCGGCAGCGGGAAGUAGCUUGCUACUUUGCCGGCGAGCGGCGGACGGGUGAGUAAUGUCUGGGAAACUGCCUGAUGGAGGGGGAUAACUACUGGAAACGGUAGCUAAUACCGCAUAACGUCGCAAGACCAAAGAGGGGGACCUUCGGGCCUCUUGCCAUCAGAUGUGCCCAGAUGGGAUUAGCUAGUAGGUGGGGUAACGGCUCACCUAGGCGACGAUCCCUAGCUGGUCUGAGAGGAUGACCAGCCACACUGGAACUGAGACACGGUACAGACUCCUACGGGAGGCAGGAGUGGGGAAUAUUGCACAAUGGGCGCAAGCCUGAUGCAGCCAUGGCGCGUGUAUGAAGAAGGCCUUCGGGUUGUAAAGUACUUUCAGCGGGGAGGAAGGUGUUGAGGUUAAUAACCUCAGCAAUUGACGUUACCCGCAGAAGAAGCACCGGCUAACUCCGUGCCAGCAGCCGCAGUAAGAC